AACAAAACAAAGUGUGCUUCUGCAAAAGCAGAGGAGAGAGAGCGAAAUAAAAAUCAACACUUGCUACUUUUCAACUCUCUGUCCCUUCCUGGAGUUUUGCAAUUUUGCUGCCACUCUCUCAUCUUUUAAUCCUCCGUUUUAGCUUCUCGCCAGAGUAUCCCAGGCGGGUGUCUCCGACGUGUCCGUAGCGUCUCUCUCUCUCUCUCUCUCUCUCUCUUGUCGGUUCCAUCUCUAACCUGCGCGGAUUAGGGAUCUCAUCGAGGACAUCUAAUGGCGUCUGGUGAAUUUCUCAUCUCAUGCUCCUCUAAAGCUAAUCAGUUUCAUUCAACAUCCCUCCCACUGGAUAACCACUCUGUGACGCCGACCACUGCCACCACCGGUCUUGUAUUUCCGGCGAACUACGGUGUUAAACCUGAAGCUGCUUUGGUCAUGGAUUGGUUCCCUGAGGAGCAGUAUGUUUUGGAGAAGGGUCUUGCAAAAUUGAAAGAUGAACCGAAAGUUUCAAAGUAUGUGAAGAUCGCUGCAGCUCUGCCGGAUAAAACUGUAAGGGAUGUUGCAUUGAGGUGUAGAUGGAUGACGCGAAAACGAAGAAAAAGAGCAGAAACCAGUGCUGGGAAGAACAUUAGCAAUAUAAAGGUGGUGGAUACAUCCCCAGAACUGAACAUGCUAGCCAAUGUGCCACAACAAAAUGCUGUAUAUGUCAUGAACAAUAUGCGCCACAGUACACAUAUUCCUUUUGAAGGUCCAAGUGACGAAGUAAUGGAUCUUCUACAGCAAAAUGCUCAAGCUUUCAGUCAGAUUUCUUACAACCUCUCCGCGUACAAGUUGCAGGAUAACAUCAGUCUCUUUUGUCUGGCAAGAAAUAACAUCAGCGCCAUUCUGACCGACAUGAAGGAGAUGCCUGGUAUCAUGAGUCGGAUGCUGCCUCUACCUGUUUCAGUUAACGAUGAUCUUGCCAGUCGUUUAUUUGCGAGUACAACACAGAGCUUCAUGACCCUAGAAGUGCUAAAGAGUUUCAUACAGUCUACAUACAUUUCUGUAUCGUUGAGCAAAGUCUUUGUUUAUGCAUCUAUGUUGAGGAACUGAAUUAGAUGUCUUAGCAGGAUGAAUCUAUGGAAGGAAAGUUUUAAGUGAAAAUAUACUUUUAAGGAAAAACACAGCCAAGAUCAUACACCAUUCAACCAAGCAUCCACCUGAAGCAAGAGCCGAGAAUUUGAUGGGGAAAGCUGGAUUUUGACCAAUGCUAAAAAAACAGCAAGUACAUGGUACGCUAUCGACAUGACACAGACAAACAAUGGUUUAUCAACUGCAGACACGGCUCCAGUACACACACGAGAUUUGGCAAUCGGCACUAGUAGAAUACUUGUGCUCAGAGAAGAAUGAACUACAUGCCCCGUGAGGCAAAGGUAAAAAACUCUUUGGCCUUCACUAGAACAUAUGAUUCCUUGAAGUUCAUAAAAGAGUUUCUGUUCCGGCAUGGGUUGAUAGAACUCCAAUGCCCUUUGCUGUAAUCAUGUUGAUACUUAAAUUAGUAUAAUGAACUCUUCUUCUGAGUUUGGUAUGUGUAAUACUAAUUCUCGUUCAGGUAAUAUUCUGUAACAAUAUUUAAAUAUAUAUAACCAUGCCAACAGAAGUAAACUUGCAUCA